CUUAGUUCAAAAUUUAAAUUAAUGAGAGAAGUUGAUGUCGUCGCAAAAUAUCUUCGAAUUCAAAUAUCACUGCUUCCCUCCCAUUCCCGUUCCCAAUUCAAAACCCCCAAAUUCAAUCUUCCGAUGGCCGAUCAGCGUCGCAAACCCCCAAAACAACCCCAAACGACCUCCAAAAGGCAAUGGUCUCUCUCCGAUUUCGACGUCGGCAAACCCCUCGGCAAAGGUAGAUUCGGCAGAGUGUAUCUAGCUCGCGAAAUCAAGAGCAAGUAUAUCGUGGCGUUAAAAAUUAUAUUCAAGGAGCAAAUUGAGAAGCAUGGCUUGCAGCACCAGUUGCGGAGGGAAAUGGAGAUCCAAAUCGCCCUUCGCCACCCCAAUGUGCUCAGGCUUCACGGAUGGUUUCACGACAAUGAGAGAAUUUUCAUGAUUUUGGAGUACGCUCACGGCGGCGAGCUCUACAGAAGGCUUCGGAAAUUGGGACACCUCACCGAGAAACAGGCUGCCACGUAUAUAGCUAGUCUCACAGAGGCUCUGUUGUACUGUCAUCAAAAGCAUGUCAUUCACAGAGACAUCAAACCGGAAAAUUUGUUGCUUGAUCAUGAGGGUCGGCUCAAAAUAGCAGACUUUGGCUGGUCUGUACAGUCCAGAAGCAAAAGACACACUAUGUGUGGAACCUUGGACUAUUUAGCACCAGAAAUGGUGGAGAGAAAGGCGCAUGACUAUGCUGUUGAUAACUGGACAUUGGGAAUUCUCUGCUAUGAGUUUAUAUAUGGUGUCCCUCCAUUUGAGGCUGAAAGCCAGAUGGAUACAUUCGAAAGGAUAAAGAAGAUUGAUUUAGCAUUUCCUUCCAUCCCUGAUGUUUCAGCAGAAGCUAAAGAUCUCAUUAGCAGGCUUCUUGUGAAGGAUUCAUCGAAAAGGCUGUCCCUCGAGAAGAUCAUGGGACAUCCUUGGAUCGUGAAGAACGCCAACUCUACGGCGCAGAGGACGUCACCCUCCCCGCAAUGAUCGACGAGAGCGGUGCGGUUUCCGACGGUGCCCUUUCAGUUUUCCCAAAUUUUAGGCGUAUUAUCGAUUUUUACGACGGAGAUGGUGGAUGAAUCUAGUCGGGCCAAGUUUGACUGUCUCGAUGGGGUUAAGCUAUCUGGAGAUGCCGAAUUUCAGUGCUUGCCUC